rnacentral:lncRNA from 1 species
AUUAUAUUUGUCUUUAUACCAAUGCAGUUAUAAAAUAUAAUUUUCAGUGUUUUUUUUUUUUUAAGGAAAGAGGGGCCCCUAAAGGCAAAGGUGCCCAGAGCUCACAAAAGUCACAGUGCAGACCUGAGCAAAGGAAGGGGUGCUAUGGACUGAAUUUGUAUCUCCCAAAAAUCCGUACGUUGAAGCCCUGUUCCCCAGUGUGAUGGUAUUGGAGACAGGACUUUUAGGAGCUAACUAAGGUAAGUGAGGUCCUAAGGGUGGGGCCUUAAUCUGAUAGGAUUGGUGGUCUUAGAAGAAGAGGAAGAAGAAGAGAGAGCUCUCUCUCUCUCUUCACACACAUGCACUAAGGAAAGUCUGUGUGAGCACACAGCAAGAAGCUGGCCGUCUACAAGCUAGGAAGAGAACCUUCACCAGAAAGUGACCUGGCUGGCAUCUUGGUCUUGGCCUUCUGAGCCUCCAGCACUGUGAGAUACUAAUUCCCGUUGUUUAAGCCACCUAGUCUGUGGUAUUUUGUUAGGGCAGCCUGAGCUGACUAGUACACAGGGAAAAAGUGAAAAAAGUAAGCAAGGUGAAGAAGUGCCAGGUCCAUGAGCAACUGGCUCAGAUAUCACCCGGUGAGCCAGCUGCGUCCUAGUACCCCAGAGCCCAGCUCUCUCUUCAUCUUCUAUGAUUGAACUCCAGUCUUCAAUCAGAAACCAGGCAAGCCGGCAAUCUGUGCAGUAGAGAGACAUUCUUUUUUCUUUGCCCACUUGAAUCACUGCAUACUUUGAAGUUUCCAAGGCAGCCGAAGGAAAAAAAAAGCUUCUAUACCAGGCAAUACAUUACAGCAGUGUUCUUGAAUUUGAGCGUGCACUGGAACCGCCUGGAGCGCUUGUUAAAACACAACCGGCUGGGCCCAUGCCCAGAGUUUCUGAUUCAGUGGAUCUAGGCUGGAGCCUGAGAAUUUGCGUUUCUAACAAGUUCCCAGGCGAUGCUGCUGCUGCUGGUUCAGGGACGACACUGUUGAAUGCAGGACCCCUGCAUUAAAGCAUACUACUUUAUCUCAGCGGAACCACCAGGAGCAGGAGAGCACACAGGUGAAUGAGGGCCAGGAGGUCAUCAAGGAAAAUCUAGGGCUGAAGAUCUAGAGGAAAUCCCAAUAGUUUCAGUGCCGAGCCGGCCAGUUGGCCAUCACAGGGCUGAGAAGGUGCAGAGGCAAGACAGUAACUGCUCUGGUAGAGUAGGG